GAGCCGGUUUUGGAGGAAAAGAGGGAUGAAAUUCCCCAAACACCCGAGAUGUAAUUGAAGGAAAAGAAGGAAGAUUUCAUGAGACUUUGCUUGGUAAACGUGUCGAUUAUUCCGGGCGCUCCGUAAUUGUCGUGGGCCCCUCACUUUCAUUACAUCGAUGUGGAUUACCUUACCUUUUCCUCGCACAUUUGCAAGUUCUAAGAAGGCGAAACUAGAAAAGGAGAUUUUAGACGUUCUAAAGAAGAUUCAUGUGAACAUACCACUCAUUGAUGCUAUCAAGCAAGUUUCCAAGUAUGCGAAAGUGUUGAAGGACUUGUGUACCAAUAAGCAAAGUCUCAAAGGUAAUGAAGUGCUAAGUGUGGGGGAGAAUGCUUCAACAAUCUUACAAUACAAGCUCCCACUGAAAUGUAAUAAAUAAAGUUCGGAUGAGUCGCGGAGCGAAAAGAGCAGAAAAGUAGUGAAAAGCCGGGAGAAAUUACGCAAGGAAGCCGCGAAGAAUGGUGCGCACA